GAUGAACGCUGGCGGUGUGUCUAAUCCAUGAGAGUCGAGCGAACAGAUGAGGAGCUUGCUCCACUGAUGCAAGCGGCUGUUGGGCGAGUAACACGAGGAUAACCCACCUAUAAGACUUGGAUAACUUCGGGAAACUGGAGUUAAUACUGGAUAAUAUAUCGAAACGCAUGGUUCCUUAGUGAAAGACGGUUUUGCUGUCACUUAUAGAUGGACCCGCGCCGCAUUAGCUAGUUGGUAAGGUAACGGCUUACCAAGGCAACGAUGCGUAGCCGAACUGAGAGGCUGAUCGGCCACACUGGAUCUGAGACGCUCACCAGACUCCUACGGAAGGCAGCGAUAGAGAAUCUUCCGCAAUAGUCGAGGGCCUGACGAGGCAACACCGCGUGGGUGAUGAUGGUCUGCGGAUCGUAAGACUCUGUUAUUGUGGAAGAUCAAAUGUGUAAGUAUCUAUGCACGUCUUGACGGUACCUGAUCAGUAAGCCACGGCUAACUGCGUG
rnacentral:rRNA from 1 species